rnacentral:rRNA from 1 species
CAGUCGCCACGGGAAUACGUAGGUGGCGAGCGUUGUCCGGAAUCAUUGGGCGUAAAGGGAGCGCAGGCGGGCAUGUAAGUCUUUCUUAAAAGUUCGGGGCUCAACCCCGUGAUGGGAAAGAAACUACAUGUCUUGAGUACAGGAGAGGAAAGCGGAAUUCCCAGUGUAGCGGUGAAAUGCGUAGAUAUUGGGGGGAACACCAGUGGCGAAGGCGGCUUUCUGGACUGCAACUGACGCUGAGGCUCGAAAGCCAGGGGAGCGAACGGGAUUAGAUACCCCUGUAGUCCCUGUCUCUUAUACC